rnacentral:rRNA from 1 species
AGUGAAUAGAUACCCUGGUAGUCCUGGCAGUAAACGUUGCUCAUUAGGUGUAGGCGGAUUCGACCCCGUCUGUGCCGAAACCUAAACGGAUUAAAUGAGCCGCCUGGGGAGUACGGUCGCAAGAUUAAAACUCAAAGAAAUUGACGGGGGCCCGGCACAAGCGGUGGAGUAUGUGGCUUAAAUUCGAUGCAACGCGAAGAACCUUACCUGGCCUUGACAUGCAUUGUUCAUCCGGUGAAAGCCGGUGUCCCGCAAGGGAGAAUUGCACAGGUGCUGCAUGGCUGUCGUCAGCUCGUGUCGUGAGAUGUUGGGUUAAAGUCCCGCAACGAGCGCAACCCCUGUGGCUAGUUACACGUCGCAAGACUUUCUAGCCAGACUGCCCUGUUCAACGGGGAGGAAGUGGGGAUGACGUCAAGUCAGUAUGGCCCUUACGGCCAGGGCUGCACACGUGCUACAAUGCCCAAUACAGAAGGACGCAAGACCGCAAGGUGGAGCCAAUCCUCAAAACUU